rfam:Stegodyphus mimosarum contig58270, whole genome shotgun sequence.
GCCUUCGUGGUGUAGUGGUCAGCGCGCUGGACGCGUAACCGAGAGGUCCGUGGUUCGAUUCCCGGCGAAGGAG